rnacentral:rRNA from 1 species
UACGUAGGGACCAAGCGUUGUUCGGAUUUACUGGGCGUAAAGGGCGCGUAGGCGGCUUGACAAGUCACUUGUGAAAUCUCCGGGCUUAACUCGGAACGGCCAAGUGAAACUGUCAUGCUAGAGUGCAGAAGGGGCAAUCGGGAAUUCUUGGUGUAGCGGUGAAAUGCGUAGAUAAUCAAGAGGAACACCUGAGGUGAAGACGGGUUGCUGGGCUGACACGUGACGCUGGAGGCGCGAAAGCCAGGGGAGCAAACGGG